CUUAAGCAUAUCAGUAAGCGGAGGAAAAGAAACUAACAAGGAUACCCUAAGUAACGGCGAGUGAACCGGGUAAUGCUCAAUCUUAAAAUCUGUGUCUCUCAUGAGGCAUCGAAUUGUAGUUUUUUGAUAAUCAUUCCCUCUUCUUCUAAUAUAAUUAAAGUCUCUUGGAAUAGAGUGUCAUAGAAGGUGAGAACCCUGUGAAUAGUUAUAUUAAAAGGAGGAUAUUGAGUUUGAUUAUCAUAGAGUCGGGUUGUUUGGGAAUGCAGCCUAAAAAGGGUGGUAAAUCUCAUCUAAAGCUAAAUAUUUGGUAAGAGACCGAUAGAAAACAAGUACCGUGAGGGAAAGAUGAAAAGAACUUUGAAAAGAGAGUUAAAAGUACUUGAAAUUGUAACUGGGAACCGCUUAAAUUCUAAUCUCUUAAUUUUAUUAAAUCAUCUUCUUUAACGAUGGAUCACAUUAAAUAGAUGUAACUUAGUUACUCUAUGAGUGGG
rnacentral:rRNA from 1 species